GUAAACUCAUUUUGAUACAAUUUUAAAUCGUAAAGAUAAGAUCUCUCGUAUGUGAUUGUGUAUCAAAAUUUAAAUUAAGUGGCGUAACUUUGAAGUCAAAAAUCACACAAAAUAAAUGAAGCGACUCACUUUCCCUCUUUAAAACCCAACGGUACCCCACUCCAUCAUCCCAACACACACGGUUACCACUCUCUCUAUCACAAUCACACACACACACACACAGUUUCACGCUCAAUCUUGCAUGAUGCUAUGGAGGAGAUCGAGGAAACAGAAAUGUGCAUCAUAUGUGUUCGACGACAUUCAGUAGAUCUAACUCGUAUCAUGUGUUGUUAUUUACCGGACAAAUUAUUGCAAGUCGGUAUCACACGCCAAUUACAGGUGCGUUCGACGACAUUCAGGAGUUGUUACUCGUAAUCGGUAUAAUAUCCAAUUGAUCAGAAACAAAUUUCUUAAAGCUGACUCUGCAGCUCACGAAGCAUUGCAGAUUUUCCAAACUGACAAACAUCGAAGCCACGUAGGUAUUGGUAGAGCAAAAGAAGGGCUCUAUAUAACAAGUACUUAGAAGAGCGUCAUUUAUAUUGGACCGGGCUUGCUAUAUUAUGUAUCAACAAGUAUUUAGAAGAGCGUCAUUUAUACUGAGCACACCACUAAAGCAUACAUGUGGACUGAGCAUCUGAUGAAAAGAUGACAGCUCAAGAUGAGAAAUAUAAGGUGCCUUCUUGUAUGUUGUAUAUCUCUUAAUAAACUUUGAUAGAAUCCUUACAAAGAGAUGGAGAGAUUCAUGACAAGGGACUUCAUUUGGACAGACACAAAGGCUCCAACUUCCAUGUUUUUAUCAAUUCAGCUAAUCCCAUCUCUAAUUAACCUCUAAUACACCUUUUUAGGUUGUUAAGAUUCAGUUUUCAUCAAUUUAACUUAUAUAGUUGGUUUAGAGCCCCUUAUCCCAUUUAGCUCUAUGAGUCUUACCUUAAAGCUCAGCUUUAACCAUUUAGGCCAAUUACAGACCAAAUAGCAUAUCAAGUUAAUUGAGUGACUUUAAUGGCAUUUUCGUCAAAACUCACCACUUAAGCCCCAUAUGUUUAAGUAGGCAGUAACAUUUAGCCUAUUAUGUGAGCAGACAUGUUGUGCAUGAAUGGCAGCUGACACAUUUCUGCCUAGUAAUACAGAGAUUAUGGACUUUCAGCGUUUUUUAUUGUUUCUUGAUUUUACCUGCCUUAUGAGUUUGCUUGAAACAUCUUGCUAAUUCUUUUACUGGUUUUCAGUUUAUAUUUACAUACAAUGUCCAUCUCAUUCAAGGACCUGAUGAUUCUGGCAAAAGCAUAGAUGUAAAUCAGGUUGCUCCUUCUAAUUAAUUGUACAAUUUUCUGUGCUAUGGGUGGUAGCAAGCGUAUGAUUGCUGAACAAUCAACUUUUAUGAUAAGGGCUACUCGUAUAUCAUGUUUUAUCAUUUGGAUCUUGAUAAGUAGCAUUCGAGCACAUGCAAAGAUAAAAUGCUCAAGAAAAGCAUCUAUGCAUUGUAUAUCUUAGCAUAUCCUGUCUAAUGACAGGAUGAUGAUGGGUUCAACAUCGGAUAAAUAAUGCCCUUUUUGGAUGAAUGGAGGCAGAUACAAGACCUUGCAAGUUACUGUGUAUCUGUUCGGCUGGAUGAACAGAGGCAACAUAUGAAGAAUUGCCAGAAUUUUGGAUGAGGUGCUACUAUUUCUUGUUACAAUUUUUUUAUCCGGGUUAGCGUUGUAACUUGAAACAAAAUUAUCAAGUAACUUCAUGUCUCUGUUGCGCUUACAUGAUUAUUUCAUUGGAACUUGCACAUCUUUCUUACAUGUCUAGAGACAAAUUGCUUACACAAGUUGUUUACAUAAAUCGAAUGGGUAUUAAGUUAAAAUCAUGAUUGGAAUGUACUCACUAAUAGAGGCUAUCUGUUUAACUUAUGCAUCUCUGGAAUUAGUCGGGUAGAUAAGGGUUCUUAGAAAAUUAUCAGGCUCAUGGUUUUGUACUGAGGCAGUUGAGUAUUUACAUCAUGUUUACUAUCUUCAGUGUAUGAAUUAUAUAAACAAUCGAUUGCUUUUUAUGCAUCUGUUGUAGUUGAUUAUUUACAGGUAUGUUAAAUGACAACUUAUGUUGCUUAUACAUAAUAUGACUUUGUUAUUAACUUGCUAACAACUUUUAUACAACCAUAUAUGAUUUUAUCUGUAGAGCCUUUCUGCACUUCUGCAUAUUGACAAGAUAUUUAAACUAGGAUAUUAUGAAAAUCUGCAGGAGCAUGCUAACUAUUUUGUGUAAAUAUUAUUGAAAAUCCUCAGUAGUAACUCUGCAGUUUUUAGUCUUCUGUUUUCAAACCACUGGUUUAGUUGGUGGGCUAUCAGCUUACGUAUAUGGACAUCCCUCAUAUCAUAAUUUGUUUCAAGUUAGGUUCAAUUGCAGUGAAACAGAAUGACAUUGUUACUUCAAGUUACGUAUAUGGCAAAUAUAUGAAGAACUGCCAGAAUAUUUGGAGGAGGUGUUGUCAUUGGAACUUGCGCGUCAAAUAGGUAUGCUAUGUUUUUCUUAACCAUGUUUGAUAUUUUCUAGAACUUGAAGGAAACGACAAAAACUAAAAUAUAGAGAAGUCACUAUAAAGCCCAGGUAGUUUCUUACAAUCCAUUUGGAUUCAAGUGGGUAUAUUACCAACGUAUAUGACUUAACAUCAUGAUCGUUAAAGGCUAGUUUUAAUAGAUAUUAAUCUCCAUUAUCUAUUAAAACACAAAGAGCAAAAGUCACUCACAGUCCCACAUCCGCUGAAUGAAGAACACACAGAUGAAGAGACUACCUAUAUAAACAGAGGCCUAUUAUGAGAAAAAGCAUACCUUUCUCGGCCUUUUGGCUAAGAUCAAGUGUAGUAUCUGUUCUUAUCAGUUUAAUAUCUGAUAUGUGGGUCAUCGGCCCACUCGAUAUUAAUCUUAUUUUUUAUGGGGAAAGACCCAUCACAAUAGCUUGCUAUUGGGGUCUUUGAGCGUCGCCUUGGUCUUGCACUACUACCUUGGCCUGGCGCACCCCUCCAAACCCUAGUUUAAAGACUUAUGUUUUUUAAAAGAUGUUUGGCUAAACUUAUUCAUGUAAAAUGAUUUAUUCCCUUGUAUUAAAACGUCAUUUACAAAAGAGUUAUCCAAACAUCAUUUCUCAUUAUUAGAAAAGUCAAUAAGUUAAUAGGAGAUUCUAAAUGGAAUCCCAAACUGACUACUCUUAUUGUAGAAAGUAAAGAUCUCUUUUUCAUGCUUUUAUCGGUUAAUAUUUCCAAAUAGGAUAUUGGAUGUGCAUUUUGAAUUAGAGCUAGAUGAAUGUAUUUUAGAGGAACUUCAAGACUGUAAAUUUGCUGUAAGCUGGUUACUUUAAGCAUGUCUUGUUUGUGAAUGUUUUGUUACAGUCCCUAAUCUAGAAAACUUGGGUUCUAUUUCCAGUUUUUUUCUAAUGAAAAUUUAGAUGUUAAAAAGGUUCCACUACCACAAUGCGAAGGCAAGAGAACUGGACAGCCUUUUAGGAGAUAUAUAUAUAGGUAUAUAUAUAUCAUAAAAUCCUAGGUAUAAAAAACCCGUCACUUCCCAUACUGUUUUUAUUGACAAUGUAAGCAGAGAUGCUUGGAACCAGUAGAAUGAGUUAUCCUAGCCCUAGGUACCAAGAUUUGAUCAAACAUCUAGCAAUCUUUGACCCACUAAUAUAUUCGUAAGUGAUGGUGUGUUUUCAGGCAAAAAACACGCCUGGAUAUGUGGUUUGCUUCAGUAUGUGAGUUUUUAUGCGGUAACAAUUUCAACGUGUAUGAGGUAGUUAAACACAUCAAUCAAGGUUACUAAUGGGUCUCAAACAAAGGAUACUGUGAAGUCAUCACAACCAGAAAACAAAGUUACAAAGCGGGCUUCAGCAAUCACGAUUUGUGUGACGAUUUUUUUCAACCUUGCAUGUGGAUGUUUCAGGUAUACUGCAUUUGGGAAUGAUACCACCGGGAAACCUCUUGACAGGCUUUGGAUUUUAUGAACCUUAUUGUCUCGUCGCCUUUGCUAACGCGUGCAGGAUAUCAAGAAUUCAAUCCCCCAAGUUCAGCAUGUACCUGUGGUGAUUGGACUGCGUUUCUGAAGCGCCUUUCUGCACUUCUACAUAUCAACAAGAUAUUUGAGCUAGGAAUUUCUGAAAAUCUUCAGGAACAUGCCAACUAUUUAAUGUGACUAUCGUUGAGAAGGUACUGCUGAAUUAUUUUCCCGACCAUGGUAACCCUGCAAAUUUUAGUCUUUUUUAUAACCGUAUGUUUUUUUAACCAACGGAUUUAAGUUAGAAUCCCACUUAAAAAUCCUUCAAUGGAUUGGGAUGUACUUGCUGACAGAGGUUAGUUUUACUAGAUAUUCAUCUGGAUUACUUAUGGUAUUAAAUUCUGAGAUAUAAAACACCCAAAGGGCAAAAGUCAUAUACAGUCCCACAUUGGCCGAGUGAACUAUACAAAGACGAAGAGACUACCUUUAUAAACAGAGGCCCAAGAAGAGGAAAAGCAUACCUUUCUCGGCCUUUUGGCUAAGAUCAAGUGUAGUAUCUGUUCUUAUCAGUUUAAUAUCUGAUACGUGGGCCAUCGGUCCACUUGAUAUUAAUCUUAUUUUUUGUGGGGAAAGGUCCAUCACAAUAGCUUGCUAUUGGGGCCUUUGAGCGUCGCCUUGGUGUUGCACUACUGCCUUGGCCUGGCGCACCCCUCCAAA